rnacentral:rRNA from 1 species
AUACGGAGGAUCCGAGCGUUAUCCGGAUUUAUUGGGUUUAAAGGGAGCGUAGGCGGACUAUUAAGUCAGCUGUGAAAGUUUGCGGCUCAACCGUAAAAUUGCAGUUGAUACUGGUCGUCUUGAGUGCAGUAGAGGUAGGCGGAAUUCGUGGUGUAGCGGUGAAAUGCUUAGAUAUCACGAAGAACUCCGAUUGCGAAGGCAGCUUACUGGACUGUAACUGACGCUGAUGCGCGAAAGUGUGGGUAUCAAACAGGAUUAGAUACCCUGGUAGUCCACACAGUAAACGAUGAAUACUCGCUGUUUGCGAUAUACGGCAAGCGGCCAAGCGAAAGCAUUAAGUAUUCCACCUGGGGAGUACGCCGGCAACGGUGAAACUCAAAUGAAUUGACGGG